GGCCGAUUGGUCAAGUGGUAAGAUCCUUGCUUUGGGUUCACUUGAAGUUCAGCAAGAGUCCCGCGUUCGAACCGCGGAUCGGUCC
rnacentral:tRNA from 1 species